UGGGGAAUUUUGCGCAAUGGGGGAAACCCUGACGCAGCAACGCCGCGUGGAGGAUGAAAUCCCUUGGGAUGUAAACUCCUUUCGAUAGGGAAGAUAAUGACGGUACCUAUAGAAGAAGCCCCGGCUAACUUCGUGCCAGCAGCCGCGGUAAUACGAGGGGGGCAAGCGUUGUUCGGAAUUAUUGGGCGUAAAGGGUGCGUAGGCGGUUUGACAAGUCUGAUGUGAAAUCUAUGGGCUCAACCCAUAGUCUGCAUCGGAAACUGUCGGGCUUGAGUAUGGGAGAGGUGAGUGGAAUUUCCGGUGUAGCGGUGAAAUGCGUAGAUAUCGGAAGGAACACCUGUGGCGAAAGCGGCUCACUGGACCAUUACUGACGCUGAUGCACGAAAGCUAGGGGAGCAAACAGGAUUAGAUACCCCCGUAGUCC
rnacentral:rRNA from 1 species